CAAAAGUUUCCUGAAUUGUUGCGCGUUCGCUCUGCUUUUGUCGGCGGCAGCAGAGUGCACGGCAGUCCGCGCAAGUAGCGAAGAUGGUGGAUUUCGCCUGGUCCACUCUGGAGUGGAAGCGUCGCAACCACCAGCUCGAUCCGACCAAGACUCGACUCAGUCUGUGUAUUGUCAAAGUGCUUACAGUGCAGGUAGUUCUUUGUAAUACCUACUGCAGUGGAGGCACUUAAAGCAAUACGCAGACACGUGUGUGUGUGUCGUCGCUCCCAUCUUGCAUGCAUCUUUUGCAAAACUGUCUUUGUGCUAAGGUGCAUCUAGUGCAGAUAGUGAAAUAGACUAGCACCUACUGCCCUAAGUGCUCCUUCUGGCAUAAGGGGCUGUGAUAUGCGCCACCAGACCAAUCCUAAUUUCUAAUUGGGCUCAAAUGUCUCGCAGUUCUCUGCUAGUUUUGCAUAGUUGCACUACAAGAAUAGAUGAGUUGUGCAAAUCUAUGCAAAACUGAUGGUGGCCUGCUUGCUCUCCACCUGUUUGGAUCUCUUGGUUUUCCAAUGUGGCAACCCCCACAACUCGACAAUAAAUGCUUUCUUGUGCCAAGUGCAAUGGCGGAAGUCUUUUCUAGAUCUCCUCAAGAUGUUCCAAGGGUUCAGCAGUACUAAAGUGCUUAUAGUGCAGGUAGUGCUUUUCUCCUAUCUACUGCAAUGUAAGCACUUGAAGUAUUUCUAGCUAACGGGCUCGUGAUGAAGCGUGUCCGUCCGGUGGUCCUAAAUGCUACUUCUCAUCACUUGGUCAGUUUUGCUGGUUUGCAUUCAGCUUCAACAGUUUGCUGUGCAAAUCCAUGCAAAACUGACGAGGUGGAUGAAAUAUCGCUUGUGAUUUGGGGAGCUUCUCACCAUAAUCUGGUACGUAUGCAUGUAAAUGUCAUCACGUGUGUCAUGUUGUGGAGAUGUCCCUUUUUGUGCAGGUGGGGAUUAGUAGCAAUGCUGUAUAUUUGAAGGUAUUGCACUUGUCCCGGCCUGUCUAAGAAUGAGGAUAUGGUCGGACGGAUUUGAAUUGUGACCCCCAAUUAAUCAUCUGUCAGGUAAUGUUGUGAUCUGAUCAAUUAAACAGACAUGCAAGUGCCACAAUGAAUUGUAUUUGUGCUCAUGUGAAUAAAACUUGUUGAAAGGAU